rnacentral:rRNA from 1 species
CAAAGGGCUCACGGAGGAUACCUAGGCACACAGAGGCGAUGAAGGACGUGGUUACCUGCGAUAAGUCUCGGGGAGUUGGAAGCACACUUUGAUCCGGGAAUUUCCGAAUGGGGCAACCCCUUGAACGACCAACUGAAUAUAUAGGUUGGUGCGAGCUAACCCAGCGAACUGAAACAUCUUAGUAGCUGGAGGAAGAGAAAGUAAAUAACGACUCCCUCAGUAGCGGCGAGCGAACGGGGAAUAGCCCAAACCGAUAGUCUUGACUAUCGGGGUUGUGGGACAGCAAUAUGGAUCAACAAUUCUAGAAGAAACGUUUGAAUGGCGUGCCAUAGAGGGUGAAAGCCCCGUAAUUGAAAGAUGAGUUGACCUAGCUGUAUCCCGAGUAGCACGGAGCACGUGGAAUUCCGUGUGAAUCUGCGAGGACCACCUCGUAAGGCUAAGUACUACUGUGUGACCGAUAGUGAAACAGUACCGCGAGGGAAAGGUGAAAAGAACCCCGGGAGGGGAGUGAAAUAGAACAUGAAACCGUGAGCUUACAAGCAAUGGGAGCCCGACUAAUCGGGUGACCGUGUGCCUGUUGAAGAAUGAGCCGGCGACUUAUAGGCACUGGCGGGUUAAACCGAAAAUGGUGGAGCCACAGCGAAAGCGAGUCUUAAUAGGGCGUUUGUCAGUGUUUAUAGACCCGAACCCUGGUGAUCUAACCAUGGCCAGGAUGAAGCUUGGGUGAUACCAAGUGGAGGUCCGAACCGACUGAAGUUGAAAAUUCAGCGGAUGAGCUGUGGUUAGGGGUGAAAUGCCAAUCGAACCAGGAGCUAGCUGGUUCUCCCCGAAAUACGUUGAGGCGUAGCGUCUAGUGCUCCAGCAGGGGGGUAAAGCAACCAUUUCGGUGCGGGCUGCGAAAGCGGUACCAAAUCGAUAUGAACUCUGAAUACCCUGUGUGUAACUAGGCAGUCAGACUGUGGGGGAUAAGCUCCAUAGUCAAGAGGGAAACAGCCCAGACCGCCAGCUAAGGUCCCAAAAUUAACGCUAAGUGAUAAAGGAGGUGGGAUUGCCCAGACAACCAGGAGGUUUGCCUAGAAGCAGCCAUCCUCAAAGGAGUGCGUAAUAGCUCACUGGUCGAGCGAUCCUGCGCCGAAAAUGAAUGGGGCUAAGCGUUAUACCGAAGCUGCGGAUAAAUUUAUUUAUGGUAGGGGAGCGUUCUAUGUUGGGUGAAGCGUUAGCGUAAGCGGACGUGGACGGCAUAGAAGUGAGAAUGUCGGCUUGAGUAGCGAAAACAUGGGUGAGAAUCCCAUGCCCCGAAACCCUAAGGGUUCCUCCGGCAGGCUCGUCCGCGGAGGGUUAGUCUGGACCUAAGGCGAGGCCGAAAGGCGUAGUCGAUGGAUAACAGGUCAAUAUUCCUGUACCAGUUAUGUUUUGGGAAGGGGGACGGAGAAGGCUAGCCAGGCCAGAUGUUGGUUACUGGUUCAAGCGUUCAAGGCUUUGAGAGAUGGAGAAAACAUCUUGAGCUGAGGCGUGAGUACGAGCUGCUACGGCAGCGAAGUUGGUGAUGUCAUGCUUCCAAGAAAAGCCCUAUACCCGUUAAGACAUAAAUGCCAGUACCCGAAACCGACACAGGUGGGGUGGUAGAGAAUACCGAGGGGCGCGAGAUAACUCUCUCUAAGGAACUCGGCAAAAUGGCCCCGUAACUUCGGGAGAAGGGGUGCCAGCGAGAGCUGGUCGCAGUGAAGAGGCGCAAGCGACUGUUUACCAAAAACACAGGUCUCCGCUAAGUCGCAAGACGAUGUAUGGGGGCUGACACCUGCCCAGUGCCGGAAGGUUAAGGAAGCUGGUUAGCUUUUAGCAAAGCUAGCGACUGAAGCCCCGGUGAACGGCGGCCGUAACUAUAACGGUCCUAAGGUAGCGAAAUUCCUUGUCGGGUAAGUUCCGACCCGCACGAAAGGUGUAACGAUUUGCGCGCUGUCUCGGAGAGAGGCUCGGCGAAAUAGAAUUGUCUGUGAAGAUGCGGACUACAUACACCCGGACAGAAAGACCCUAUGAAGCUUUACUGUAGUUUGAUAUUGUGCUCGGGCUCUAAUUGCGCAGAAUAGGUGGGAGACGUUGAAAUAGUACUUGUGGGUAUUAUUGAGUCAUCGGUGAGAUACCACUCUAUUAGAGCUAGGGUUCUAACGCUUACCCGUUAUCCGGGAAGCGGACAGUAUCUGAUGGGCAGUUUGACUGGGGCGGUCGCCUCCUAAAAGGUAACGGAGGCGCACAAAGGUUCCCUCAGGCUGGUUGGAAAUCAGUCGUUGAGUGCAAAAGCAGAAGGGAGCUUGACUGUGAGACCUACAAGUCGAACAGGGACGAAAGUCGGUUUUAGUGAUCCGACGGUUCUGCGUGGAAGGGCCGUCGCUCAACGGAUAAAAGUUACUCUAGGGAUAACAGGCUGAUCUCCCCCAAGAGUUCACAUCGACGGGGAGGUUUGGCACCUCGAUGUCGGCUCAUCGCAACCUGGGGCUGAAGUCGGUCCCAAGGGUUGGGCUGUUCGCCCAUUAAAGCGGUACGCGAGCUGGGUUCAGAACGUCGUGAGACAGUUCGGUCCAUAUCCGGUGUAUGCGCAGGAAUAUUGAGAGGAUUUCUCCCUAGUACGAGAGGACCGGGAGGAACGCACCUCUGGUGUGCCAGUUAUCGUGCCAACGGUAAACGCUGGGUAGCCAUGUGCGGAGUGGAUAACCGCUGAAAGCAUCUAAGUGGGAAGCCCACCUCAAGAUGAGUAUUGCCAUGGCUUAAGCCAGUAAGGUCACGGGAAGAACACCCGUUGAUAGGCUCUACGUGGAAGCUUGGUAACAAGUGCAGCGGAGGAGUACUAAUAGACCGAGGGCUUGACCA